GCUUCGGGCAGGCCGUGGUCUAAUUCGCUUGGAACAGCGAGUCACAGAGGGUGAGAAUCCCGUCUAGGAUCGUGGCCGCGUCCAUGUGAAGCUCCUUCGACGAGUCGAGUUGUUUGGGAAUGCAGCUCUAAAUGGGUGGUAAAUUUCAUCUAAAGCUAAAUAUGGGCCAGAGACCGAUAGCGCACAAGUAGAGUGAUCGAAAGAUGAAAAGCACUUUGAAAAGAGAGUUAAACAGUAUGUGAAAUUGUUGAAAGGGAAGCGCUUGCAACCAGACUUGUGACUGACGGUUCCCCCGGCCUUCUGGGCCGGGCUACUCCGUCACGUCCAGGCCAACAUCGGUUUGGGUGGUCGGUGAAAGACCUCGGGAAUGUAUCUACCUCCGGGUCGACUUAUAGCCCGGGGUGCAAUGCGGCCCACCCGGACCGAGGAACGCGCUUCGGCUCGGAUGUUGGCGUAAUGGUUGUAAGCGGCCCGUCUUGAAACACGGACCAAGGAGUCUAACAUCUAUGCGAGUGUUUGGGUGUCAAACCCCUACGCGGAAUGAAAGUGAACGGUGGUAAGAACCCCGUCAGGGGCGCAUUAUCGACCGAUCCUGAUGUCUUCGGAUGGAUUUGAGUAAGAGCAUAGCUGUUGGGACCCGAAAG
rnacentral:rRNA from 1 species